GGUUAACCGUAUAGGGGAGCCGAAGGGAAACCGAGUCUUAACUGGGCGUUAAGUUGCAGGGUAUAGACCCGAAACCCGGUGAUCUAGCCAUGGGCAGGUUGAAGGUUGGGUAACACUAACUGGAGGACCGAACCGACUAAUGUUGAAAAAUUAGCGGAUGACUUGUGGCUGGGGGUGAAAGGCCAAUCAAACCGGGAGAUAGCUGGUUCUCCCCGAAAGCUAUUUAGGUAGCGCCUCGUGAACUCAUCUUCGGGGGUAGAGCACUGUUUCGGCUAGGGGGUCAUCCCGACUUACCAACCCGAUGCAAACUGCGAAUACCGAAGAAUGUUAUCACGGGAGACACACGGCGGGUGCUAACGUCCGUCGUGAAGAGGGAAACAACCCAGACCGCCAGCUAAGGUCCCAAAGUCAUGGUUAAGUGGGAAACGAUGUGGGAAGGCCCAGACAGCCAGGAUGUUGGCUUAGAAGCAGCCAUCAUUUAAAGAAAGCGUAAUAGCUCACUGGUCGAGUCGGCCUGCGCGGAAGAUGUAACGGGGCUAAACCAUGCACCGAAGCUGCGGCAGCGACGCUGAUGCGUUGUUGGGUAGGGGAGCGUUCUGUAAGCCUGUGAAGGUGGCCUGUGAGGGUUGCUGGAGGUAUCAGAAGUGCGAAUGCUGACAUAAGUAACGAUAAUGCGGGUGAAAAGCCCGCUCGCCGGAAGACCAAGGGUUCCUGUCCAACGUUAAUCGGGGCAGGGUGAGUCGACCCCUAAGGCGAGGCCGAAAGGCGUAGUCGAUGGGAAACGGGUUAAUAUUCCCGUACUUGGUGUUACUGCGAAGGGGGGACGGAGAAGGCUAUGUUGGCCGGGCGACGGUUGUCCCGGUUUAAGCGUGUAGGCUGGUUUUCCAGGCAAAUCCGGAAAAUCAAGGCUGAGGCGUGAUGACGAGGCA
rnacentral:rRNA from 1 species